rnacentral:rRNA from 1 species
AGCUUCUUGUUUUUUAUAAGAAGUGAUGCCUGCCCAAUGAUUUUUUAAUGGCCGCGGUAUUUUGACCGUGCUAAGGUAGCAUAAUAAUUUGUUUUUUAAAUAAAAACUAGUAUGAAUGGCUUUUCAUUUUCUAACUGUCUCUCAUUAUUCUCUUUUAAAUUUCUAUUUCUGUGAAGAAGCAGAAAUAUCUUAGUAAGACGAGAAGACCCUAUCGAGCUUUAGCUAAUAAAAUUAAACUAAAAUUAUUUUUAAGCUUUGGUUGGGGCAACCAUGGAGAAAAUAAACCUCCAGACCUAAAAGAAGAAAUUUUUUCUCUUUUAAUUUAUUGAACCAAUUUUUUGGAAAACAGAAAUAGUUACCGUAGGGAUAACAGCGUAAUCUUCUUUAAGAGCCCUUAUUGACAAGAAGGUUUGCGACCUCGAUGUUGGAUUGGGGCACCCAAAAAGUGCAGACGCUUUUUAAGGUUGGACUGUUCGUCCAUUAAAGCCCU